rnacentral:rRNA from 1 species
GACGAACGCUGGCGGCGUGCUUAACACAUGCAAGUCGAACGGAAAGGCCCUGCUUUUGUGGGGUGCUCGAGUGGCGAACGGGUGAGUAACACGUGAGUAACCUGCCCUUGACUUUGGGAUAACUUCAGGAAACUGGGGCUAAUACCGGAUAGGAGCUCCUGCUGCAUGGUGGGGGUUGGAAAGUUUCGGCGGUUGGGGAUGGACUCGCGGCUUAUCAGCUUGUUGGUGGGGUAGUGGCUUACCAAGGCUUUGACGGGUAGCCGGCCUGAGAGGGUGACCGGCCACAUUGGGACUGAGAUACGGCCCAGACUCCUACGGGAGGCAGCAGUGGGGAAUAUUGCACAAUGGGCGGAAGCCUGAUGCAGCAACGCCGCGUGCGGGAUGACGGCCUUCGGGUUGUAAACCGCUUUCGCCUGUGACGAAGCGUGAGUGACGGUAAUGGAUAAAGAAGCACCGGCUAACUACGUGCCAGCAGCCGCGGUGAUACGUAGGGUGCGAGCGUUGUCCGGAUUUAUUGGGCGUAAAGGGCUCGUAGGUGGUUGAUCGCGUCGGAAGUGUAAUCUUGGGGCUUAACCCUGAGCGUGCUUUCGAUACGGGUUGACUUGAGGAAGGUAGGGGAGAAUGGAAUUCCUGGUGGAGCGGUGGAAUGCGCAGAUAUCAGGAGGAACACCAGUGGCGAAGGCGGUUCUCUGGGCCUUUCCUGACGCUGAGGAGCGAAAGCGUGGGGAGCGAACAGGCUUAGAUACCCUGGUAGUCCACGCUGUAAACGGUGGGUACUAGGUGUGGGGUCCAUUCCACGGGUUCCGUGCCGUAGCUAACGCUUUAAGUACCCCGCCUGGGGAGUACGGCCGCAAGGCUAAAACUCAAAGGAACUGACGGGGCCCCGCACAAGCGGCGGAGCAUGCGGAUUAAUUCGAUGCAACGCGUAGAACCUUACCUGGGUUUGACAUAGAUCGGGAGUGCUCAGAGAUGGGUGUGCCUCUUUUGGGGUCGGUUCACAGGUGGUGCAUGGCUGUCGUCAGCUCGUGUCGUGAGAUGUUGGGUUAAGUCCCGCAACGAGCGCAACCCUUGUUCACUGUUGCCAGCACGUUAUGGUGGGGACUCAGUGGAGACCGCCGGGGUCAACUCGGAGGAAGGUGGGGAUGACGUCAAGUCAUCAUGCCCCUUAUGUCCAGGGCUUCACGCAUGCUACAAUGGCUGGUACAGAGAGUGGCGAGCCUGUGAGGGUGAGCGAAUCUCGGAAAGCCGGUCUCAGUUCGGAUUGGGGUCUGCAACUCGACCUCAUGAAGUCGGAGUCGCUAGUAAUCGCAGAUCAGCAACGCUGCGGUGAAUACGUUCCCGGGGCU